rnacentral:lncRNA from 10 species
GGUAAAAAGAGGAAAUCAAUCAAUAUUUUGCUCCUGCUUAGGGAAGACUAGAGGGUUGCAGUCACUGCAGUAAUUAAGAAUAUAGGACCUGGAGUUGAAGGCUUCCUCCAUCACUAACGAGUGGCAUGAUCUUGGAUAAAUUGCUUAACCUCUCUGAACCUCAGUUUCUUCUAUCAUAAAAUGAAAAUAUUAUGCAUGCCCAUGUCACAGGGCUGUUGUCAGGAUGAAUGAAAUGAUCUGUGUGAAAACAUGUCAUGCAGUACCCAGGACAUGGUAAGUUAGCUUUCUUUGCCAGUGUUUUUCCUGUCCAGUGGUGUUCUACAAGACACUUAUUCCUUUCCCUCCUCCCUCUUCCUUCCACUACCCUCAUCCCGAACUCCUGGGCUCUGGAGGAAAGACUGACGUAGGGAAAGCGAACUGAGUCUGUUGUCGUGUCUGCAACCAGAAACAAUGUAUUAGGAGAGGCUCUGUAGUUUGUUUAUAGACAAAAGGGAGUCUUGGAAAAGGGAUCAUGAAUGGCCUUCAUUCUCUGACUGAUGGAAUUAGUUUGUCAUCUGGAAACCACCUUCAUUUUCCUCAUAUUCAGAAUGUUCCCUUUAGUGAGCAUAGAGCACUUUUCAAAUAUAGCCCUCCUUGGCUCAAUGCCUCACUAUAUACUCCCUGGAGGGCAAGUAAAAUGCCUCUUCCCUCAGACCCCUUUGCUGAAUUCUCCCUUUCCUUUGGCUUCUCACUUUGAAGUCAGAUGCUUGCUUAGAAUUUAGACUUUAAAACAGUUUUUUUUUGCUACUCAAACAAGUACAUGGACAUGCAUAGCAGCAUGAUUCAUAACAGCCCAAAGCUGAAAACAACCCAAACAUCCAUUAACUGAUGAAUGGACAAACCAAAUGUGGUAAAUAAGUCUACAAUGGAUUAUUAGUCAGCCAUGAAAAGGAAAUAAGUGCCAAUAAAUGCUAUGACACAAUAAAUGUUAAGUGAAAAUAAGUGAAUGAAGCCAGACACAAGAGGUUGGAUUGUAUUGUAUAGCCCCACUUAAAUAUUAAUAAAAUAUCCAGACUGAGUAAAUCAACAGAGACAGAACACAGAUUGACAGGUACCAGGUACAAGAGGAUUGAGGAACCACUUCUUAGUGGGUAUGGGAUUUCAUUUCUGGCGGAUGAAAAUAUUUUGCAUAGAUAGAAGUAGUGGUUGCACAUUAUAAAAGUACUAAAUACCACCAAAUUGUUCACUUUAAAAUAGUUACUUUUAUGUUACAUUAAUUUCAUCUCAAUAAGAAAAUGAUUAGCAUUUCUUGUGUUUUCUCUAUCUAUGUCUAUGGUCUUAUAAUCUUUGUCUCCAAGACAUGACCCUUUCCAUCAAGUCCCUCAAAACAUUAUCACAGUUUCAUUGUCUCCCCACUGUAGGAAGAUCUAUUAUCAAAAGAAGUUUCUGAUCUCUGGUCUCAUGAUAGAGUUAGUUACCAUUUGUCUUCCACCACCAUUAUUUCCAGAGAUUCCUUCUGCUUAACUGGUAUUUACAUUUACACUUGAAAGGAAAUGUGCUUGAAACCUGUUGUGAUGUCCCAGAAUGGAAAGUCUCCAAAAGGUAGACCUGUGAUAGCUUCACCCUCUUUCUUCAAUUGUUAUUCAUUCAUUCAUUUAUUCAUUUAAUCAAUCAGCAAUAGUCUAAGGUCUGCACUAUGUAUAGCUCCCUGCAGGGCACUGCUGGAUUAAUGGAAAUGAAUCAGAACAGCUCCUGGCCUUGGGGCGCUCACAGAAUAAGGAAACAGAUGACCCCUGUGAGAACAGCUAUGCAGGGAAAGCUACACAUGGUAAGAAACAUACAGAAGUGGGUGAGCACAAAGGAAAAGAAUGUGCCUGAAGGGAAAGCUUCAAAGAGAUACAAAGUUCAGACCCUCCACCAUUCCACUCCUCAUUUUAAAGUGCACCCAUCCCUUUAGCUAACCCUAUUUAUAUGUUAGUCUUCUCUUCCUCUGCCACUUCCCCAGUGUAUCUGGUGUCUUUCAUCAUCUCUGAAGCAACAAAAGACUCUCCCUUAAAAAUCCACCCCAAAGUUCCCCAUUGAUCCCUUUUUAUUUUUUAGUUUAUAGAAUUAAAAUAUCUUGUACAUCUCUUGCUACUUCUUUUUUGGUUGUUAACUGAUGUGGUUUGUAUGUGUGUCCCCUCCAAAUCUCAUGUUGAAAUGUGAUCCCCAAUGUUGGGGGUGGGGCCUGUUUGAGGAUGUUGGAUUAUGGGGGUGAAUCUCUCAUGAAUGGCUGGGUGCCCUCUUUGCUCAAAAGAGUCAUAAUAAAUUUGCAUGAGAUCCAGUUGUUUAAAAGAGUGUGGCAGUUCCCCAUCUCUCUUGCUCCUCUUUUACCAUGUGAUAUACGGCCUCCCUCUUUGCUUUAUACCAUGAUUACAAGCUUCCAGAGGGCCCCACCAGAAGCAGAUGCUGGCUCCAUGCUUCUUGUACAGCCUGCAGAACUGUGAGCUAAAUAAGCUUCUUUUCCUUAUAAAUUACCCAACCUCAGGUAUUCCUUUAUAGCAAUGCAAAUGGACUAACACACUAAAAUUAGCAUUAGAAUUAGAAUUAGCAUAUCUGAACUUAGAAUGGAGCAUGGAAUAUGUAGGAUCAAUAGGUUUGUGUUUUAAGCAGAAAUAGGAGACAGGGAUGGUCACCAUCAAAGUGGGAAGUCAAAAGAUCACAGCUGAAAUCUUAAAUUCACCUACAAUUCCAUAGUCUUGGGCAGGAGAUUUAACUUCUCUGAGCUUUAAUUUAUUCCUUUGUAAAAUGUUAACAAUCAUGUCAUUAAACUUGCUGGAGAUAGCACAGAAGAGAAAUUUCUACACAAAUGUUUGCCACCACUGAAGUUGUUACACAAAUACCUAAAAGGAAUCUACUCUGAGCGUUUUUAGAUGCCACUAACUUACUGCAGUAGUCCUUGGUGUUGUGAUCUCAUUGAAUCCCAUAAAAGAAAAUAUGUCCAGCCCAUGUCACCUGACUUCUGUCCUUGGUUAUGCAGACCAGUGGGAUUGUAGUCUCUUCUUAUGUGGUCCUCACCCAAGCUCUUGAUAUGACCUCAAUGGAAGGAGGAUGUCUUCCCUGUAGGACAGGAAGAUAGCAGACAUGAGAUCCUUGACUCUCUCCCUUUUUCUUUGGUUUCAGUCUAUUUAUGUACUUACUAUGUUUGGGUGCCUUCAUCAUCAGCCCUUGUUAGCCUAGAGGUUAAAGAUUUACUCAUGAGGGACAGAUGAAGCUCAUAAGGAAUUAGCUACAUGUCCCCACUUGGCUGGUCAGCUGGAGUCAAGAUGAUAUGAAGACAAUGACUCACCAGUAAUAGGAAGCCCAUUUUUCAGACUAAGCUUUUAACAAUGGAGCCUGCCAAGUGUGAACAAUGAUCAGCCAUGGGAUGCUUCUUCUUGGAAGCCACUUGUCUUAAAUAGAAGGAGCCUUGAGCUAAAUCAAAGACCUGGUUUCUAGUUCCUGCUCUACCAAUAUCUCCCUGGGUAACCUUCAGUAAGUUACUACCACUCUGAGCCUUCAAGUCCUUUAAACUGUGGUAUUGUAGGAUGUUACAUUAACUUUUUCCUAUAGCCCUUGAUAAUGGUCCUAAAGCACUUUGUGCCCCUCCACAGCUCUCUGCUAUGAAUGGGUUAGAUUGUCAAAGCUAGAGUAUGAGUUCCCCAGGUGUGCCAGGCAGAGCUGACAUGAUGUGUGGCUCUUAUUCAUAGUGUUAGGGGCACAAAGAUAAACUAAGGAAGUUUGAAUACAUAUGGACUUUAGUUUACUAUUUACGUUGGUAUACAGAAUAGAUCUGUAUAUUAAAGUUUUCCAAAGACAGUGCAGAUGGUAAAUUAUUACCCCUCCCAACCCGCUUUUCUAUUUCACUCUCAGCAGAGCAAGACCCAGGACAUUUGAAAAUUUAUGUUAAGAAUUUAGUUGAUUAGUAUUCUAAGGAAGCAGUAUAAAAAGAGCAUGGUGAGAAGGUCAGAGUGUGGAGUCAGAUCUAACAAUUUGUCUCCAUUCUCUACUUAUUGGCUGUGUGACCUUGGGAAGAUAGCUUAACCUCUCUGACUCUUAAUUUUCCAUUGAGAGAGUUGUGACAAUCAAUGUGGAUGUUAUUUAAAGCAUUGCUUAUUAAAUCAAAGCAUAACUGUAGCUUAAAAAUGAAUUAUAGCUUCUCAUAGAGACUCUCUUCCAGAGUACAGUAUAGAACGGAAAAAAAAAAAAAAAAAGAGUAACUAUACAGUGGAGAAACCUGACAAGCACUGCCUUGGCCAAAUGACCAACGUUACUAUCAACAGCGAUAAAUAUUAUUGAUGGGCAUUCAUCAAGAUCAACAUACCUGCCAAGGCAAACCCUGUGAGCCCUGUGACUGGCCAUGUGGACUCGACAUCCUCCUUGUCCGCCGUCCACUCACUUGCAAACUGGUGUCAAUGAAGGUAACAUUUUGUGGUAAUGGCAACCAUAUGGGCUGGUGACUGCUGUCAGUAAAAAUAGCCCACAUGGCCUGUGUGGCCAGACACAACGUCAAGCUAAGAGAAGGAGACAGAAAGCUGUGUGAAGGAAAGAAAAAAAAAUAGUUUUAAAAGACUGGAGACGGAAGCCUGCCUGACUGUGAAGGAGGUUUCAGGGAGCUGAAACAUGCAGCCAAGCUGGGCUCAUCAACAGCAGAGACAUUUGCAUGAAACACCAGCCCUCCCCAGCCUGGCCUUCCACACUCUCAUGCCCCAGAUGAGAGGGGAUAGAAACAGGAUUCUAUCUGGGAACAGAGCCGAAGCUCAGCACAUGUACACAUCUCUGGGAUGUGUACAGAAUCUUCUCCUACCUAACCAACCCAGUAGAGAGCAAGGAGUUAGGGCCAGAAAUUUUAAACAACAACAACAACAACAAAAAAACCUAAGCAUAUAUUUUCAGUUCCUUUAAAAAUGUAUUAUGUUUUGUAGCAUAAUAGAAACAACGUGAAUUUGCAAAUUGCCAGACCUGAUUUGACUCUCACAAUAUGCUACUGAAUAAACACAAGCAAAUUACUUAAUCUCUAAAACCUUCGGUUUAUUCGUUUGUAAAAUGGAGAUAAUGUAACCAAUAGUUAUUAUGAGGAGUACAUGAGCUGAUGUUCCUUACACUUAAUAGAAUGUCCUACUCAUUUAUUCACUCAUUCAACAAAUACUUAAUAAUUGCCUUCUAGGGCCAAGCACAGUUACAGAGGAAUAAGUGAGUGCAUAAAACGAAAUGGCAGUUUUCAUGGGGUUUAUAUUCUAGUUGUAAGUGGAACACGUAGAAUGUCAGAAGAUGAAAAGUGCUGUGGAUAAAAAUAA